AAGGAAAAAAAAGUCAUAAAAAUAAACCAUUGCUUCGACAGUUGCUGCUUUUGUUUGGCUAAUAAUCUCUCACGGAGUCGAUGAUUUAUCUUUAAAUACCUUCAAAUUUUUAGCUUUUCAAUAUGCCAGUUGUUGCGAUGGAAAUCGAAGCUCAUUCAUUCUUCAAGCAAUUUCUGAGUCUAGGCAAAAAAGAAGGAAGUGGAUAGUGAACUCGUCACUCGCCAUACACCGAGGGCGUAAGGGGACACCGAAUUGAUCCUGGUUUCAAAUCGAAGACCAAACCGCUUUUACUCUGCACUGCUCUGGUAAGAAUUUAGCUGGGGCAUGGUAAAAUUAGAAGGCCAGCAAAUACCCUAAAGCAAUGGAAUAGUUUUCAUUCCUCUCUUUAGACCAGCUAGGAGGCCAAGGUACUUGUUUUGGCAGCCUACAUGUGGAACUGAGAGUAGACCAGCCAAUUGAUCCCGAACAAUGGAAGGGGUAUUCUUGCUGAAAAAACAGAGGACUUAUCGAGAUUCACUACCUGUCCACUAACUUCUUCAUAAGUGUGUAGUACCUUAUGCAAAUUUUUGCAAUCUCUAGUAGUAGCUUUGUUAAACAAAAUGGAAUCAUCCACAAAGAAUAAAUGACUGAUCUUAGGGUAUCUAGAGUUCAGCCUUAAACCAGAGAUUUUUAGCCUUCGUUUUCCUCUGUGGAGCAGACGGAAUAGACCUUUUGUACAAAAUAAAAAUAGAUAGGGAGAGAGGGGAUCGCCUUGACAUAAACCUCUGCAUGGUUUGAAGAAACCAUGAGGUUGACCUUCCAUAGUAAUGGAGUAAGAAACCAUCUCCACACAUUCUCUGAUCCAGUCAAUCCACUUUUUGCAAAAACCCAUUUUGUUCAAAAUAGCCCAUACAAAACUCUACUCAACUCUGUCAUAUGCUUUAUUCAUAUCCAGAUUUAAUGCUAAUUUAUAAUCUCCAUAGGUCUUAUUCAGGAAGUGCAUGAAUCCGUGAGCAAUCAGCAUAUUGUCACUAAUUAAUCUCCCUUUAAUAAAAGCACUCUGAGUGUCGCUAAUAAUCCUAUUCAUGACAUUUUGUAAUCUGUGUACUAGGCUUUUAGAGAGUAUUUUAUAGAAAACACUACUCAGCCUUAUUGGUCUGACCUGCUUCAUAGAGUUAGCAUUUCUAACUUUUGGAAUAAGACAAAUAUUUGUAUGAUUGAAAGCUUUCACAUUUUACCUCCUGAAAAGAAGCUCUUGACUGCACAUAUCACAUCCUUUUUAAUUAGCUAUCAAUAGAACUGAAAAAACUUGGCCGUAAAACCAUCAUCUUCGGGGAAUAAGAAAGGAUUGAUAGAGAAAGUUGCUGACUUAAUCUCCUUCUCUGUCACUGAAUUUGUAAGAAAACGGUUGGUAGUGUCAUCAAUUUUAGUGCCUAUUUUCUAAAGAACUUCAGUUGGAUCCAUCGGGUUAGAUGUUGUAAAAAGCUUAACAAAAUAAUCUUGCGCAGCUGCCGCAAUACCAACUUGAUCCAAUGCUAAAUUUAUCGUCUACCAGUUCUUGAAUUUUGUUUCUGCGACAUCUUAACUGAAAUUUAGAGUGAAAAAUUUUGUAUUUUUAUCACCCCAAUUUAGCCACUGUACCCUGAAUUUUUCCUUCCAAAAACGCUCCUCUUGUUCCAAGUUUUCCUCUAAUUCAGCCUCCGAAAUUCGGACAGUAGUGCUAUUUGCCGCCACUCCUUUUGCCUUCUCAUCAUCCAACCUUGCUUGCAGGAUUUGAAUUUGAAUUUUUGAAUUAGGAGCCGUUGAUUUUUGCCAAUCUACCAGCUUAUGGCUGCAAUUUUUUAAUUUCGCAGCCAGUUUGAACAUAGGAAAACCAACAACAUUUAGGUCCCAAGCUUGUUUAACAAUUGUAGAAACCUCCUUUCUAAACAUCAACGCUCUUGGAAUCUGAAUCUUCUUUUAGUUCUUCGAUUUUCUCUCUCUAAGCUAAUUGAUAAUGGGAAGCAAUAUGAUCCGGUAUCAUCUAAAUGAGCAACAAAACCAUUCGGAUAUGCUGUCCUUCAGCUCUUAGAUGCUAAAGCUCUAUCCAACCUUUAAUUUCUUGAAUGAAAUUACUUCCAAAGUGCCUGUUGCACCAUGUAAAUUUCUUUCAUUCAUACCCUAGAUCCACCAAAUCACCUUCAUAAAUAAAGUCAGUAAAGCUCUGAAUAGAUGAGACUGAUUUCAUCUUUCCUCUCUCCUUCUCAUGAUGACCUUUAAUUGCGUUAAAGUCUCCCACGCCACUACUAGAUUUUUCCUGUCGACUCUCUAAUUCGUAAGGUCUUAGCAAAUUAUUCUGCUCUAGCUGUCUCAUCCGUGUGUAAAUGUACUGCUAUGACAUCCCAAACCUUCAUAUUCUGCUGAUCCUCCCAAGUGAAAUGUAUAAAGAAUGAAUCAUGUGGCAAAAUCUACAAUUUCACCUCUUUCUUCUAAGCUCCCGCAAGACCAACCGGCUUAACACAAAACAGCAACUGAAAAUCAGCUCCUAUAAUCACUCUCUCCAUUGUCGAAGUAUUACUUUAGUUUCACAGAGAAAUAAUACUUUGGGAGAAUGGGAUUUUAUAAUCCCUUUGAUGUAAAUUGUCAGGAGUUUUCCCAAACUCCGACAGUACCACAUUAUCAUCUUCAUAGCUCUUCGGAUGCCCUUUGAAGGAUGGCACCCUCUCCAUCGUUAACACCAACAUUUAUCUCCUGACAAACCCUUUUCUGCCCUAUAUUAUCCUUUUUCUCCUGAGAUCUUCUUUUCCUUCCUAUAAUGUCAAUAAUUUUUCUCGCAGCUAAUUGUUUCAGUUUGGGUCUCCUCUGGCUACUCUAUUUUUCGUAGCUGCUGCCUUCUUUAAAUACAAAGCAUUCAUCACUCCCUUGAAUAUUAUUGAGAACUCCCAACACGGUCAUUGGUUUUACUACUCUCAUCAUCAAGAUUCAGUAGCAGUUUCUUCUUAUUGAGAGAGUUAAUUACCAAUUCUUUCCCAUUUUUCCUCUGAUUUUUCCUCCAUGGAUAAGUUAGUUAUACCUUUAAGUAAACUCACUAGUAUUGACUUUUUAUCUUUUAUCCAUAUCCGAUCUUCCACUACAGAAUUAGGAAUAUAUAAUGGUAUCAUUUGAGUUUUGCUCCAGCUUUCCACCCUGUUAUGACCUUAGCCACUCUCCCAUCCUUCCUCAUCCACCUCUCUUUUCAAAGAGUCCUCUAGCUAUUUUUUACAGCCUCUUGUUUCGUGGCCUAAGUGUCCAUAAUAAUUACAAAAUAUACCAAUGCAUUCAUACUUAAGUGUUACCUCGAUUAUCUUCUUGUUAGGACCUGCCACUUUAGUAAUUCUGUGCAAGGGUUUGGUGAUAUCAAGAUUAAUUUGAGCCUUGAUUAUUCUGUUUUCCUUUCCUCUCACUUGAAAAAUAUCCACGUCUAGAAUCUCUCCCAUAUUUUCUCUUAUCUUCCGGUCAAUCUCUUUGGUUUUAUGAUGUUCCAGAAGCUCCUGUUGGACCCAUAUAGAUACUUGAGAAAAUUCUGCAUCAUCCAUUAGCACAUCUUCCUUCCACCUUCUCAAAUUUAGGAUAUAAUUUUUGAAGAGCCAUGGAGCUCCUCUUCCAAUCCUUAUCAUAUCCAUCUCCUCGUGAAAAUAAAAUUGAAAGAGGUUUCCUCCAUGGUCCGUGACCUUAAACCCUGCUGGUUGUCUUCAUAUUGCCUGCAUUGUUGCCUGUAGAGUACCUCCAGAGAAGGGUCGAUCAGCAAGUAACCUUUUAAGGAGACUCCUAGAGCAUCUCUCAACACCAGAUUGAAUAUCUUCUUUCUCCACCCUCACUA